GAUGAACGCUGGCGGCGUGCCUAAUACAUGCAAGUCGAGCGAACGGACGAGAAGCUUGCUUCUCUGAUGUUAGCGGCGGACGGGUGAGUAACACGUGGAUAACCUACCUAUAAGACUGGGAUAACUUCGGGAAACCGGAGCUAAUACCGGAUAAUAUUUUGAACCGCAUGGUUCAAAAGUGAAAGACGGUCUUGCUGUCACUUAUAGAUGGAUCCGCGCUGCAUUAGCUAGUUGGUAAGGUAACGGCUUACCAAGGCAACGAUGCAUAGCCGACCUGAGAGGGUGAUCGGCCACCCUGGAACUGGAACACGGUCCAGAGUCCUACGGGAGGCAGCAGUAGGGAAUCUUCCGCAAUGGGCGAAAGCCUGACGGAGCAACGCCGCGUGAGUGAUGAAGGUCUUCGGAUCGUAAAACUCUGUUAUUAGGGAAGAACAUAUGUGUAAGUAACUGUGCACAUCUUGACGGUACCUAAUCAGAAAGCCACGGCUAACUACGUG
rnacentral:rRNA from 1 species